rnacentral:lncRNA from 1 species
AACGUUUUUAGUCUGACUCCAAAAUUCAUUCAACUGGAGUCGGAUUCCAAAAUUCAUUGCAAAGGCUUUCUCCUGCCUCUUGCUGUGUACUCGUUGUCUGCGCUGGACAACUUGGAGACUUUGAUCUACAGCCCAGAAAACUUCAGCCAUGUGUUGCCAGAGGAAUUAGUCAAGUUCUAUAAAACAUGUUCCAAGAAGAAAAACUGGCUAAUUCUAAGGAAGAGAAAGCCAUAGCUUCUUGGUUGUCUGCUUCUGAAAUAGGUCAGUCCUUCCUUUAUCACAGUUGUUUAUCAUAUAAGAAACAAUGAUCCUUUCAAACGUAAUCUUGUUCUUGUGCACAGAGAAAUCUGGGUAAGAGAAGAGGGGCCAAGAACAGUCUGGAAGAACAUCCCCAGAACCAGGGGCUGGAAGGAAUGAAGGACAAAUACACACAGGCAGAGGCAGAACACAGAUUCACAGAUUGUUUGUGCUGAGAUAAGAGCUACAGAUGCCCUCACUCCAAGGAAACCGAGGCCCCCAGACAUAAAGUGACGUUUUGCAAUCAACCAGCAUAUGGCAGUUCUUCGUCUUCCGGAGCAGAGCUCAUCAUGCUAGGGGAAACUGGCCAGAAGUAAAGCGUAACAAAGUUGAGUCCCCAGAGCUUAAAGCACUGACUCUGCCUCCCACAGUGCCAGGAUGAUGUUGAAAGACCUUAUGACAAAAGCACCUCACCCCAGGCCCAGGAACUUGUACACAGAGGGCCCGAACCAGAUGCUGGGCCAGCCUCGUAGCUGCCAGGCUAGGUAGGGUUGAGACUACCUCUGGCUGGAGAGCCACAGGGACAAUGUUAUGCUGUCCUCCUGUUCCUCUACUCAAGAAAGACUAUGACCCAAUCCAAAUAGCAAAACAGGGCUGAUCACAGCUUUGGAGGUGCUCAGUUUUAUUUUAUUUUUACAACUAUCUCUUGUAUAAUUAUUUUAUUCAAUUUUGUCUGUUUUGUCAGUUUUGUUUGGAUUCAGCCAAAUCCAGACUCGGAGCCAAAGAAAACCAAGCCUGACCUUGUAGUGGUCCUAUUUUCCCAGAUGGGCUUCUGCCAUAGCACAGGAGAGAUCCAAGUGAGACUGAUGUGUCUGACAGGAAAACUGGACAAGGGCUGCUCUCUCCGAUCUCACCUGCAGAAAAAUGCCUGGGUCAGUCCAAUGGCCCCACAUUCACUCUGCCAAUGCAAUCAAAGGCAAGCAGGCAGCUAUAUGUCCGGCAGCAUUAGUUCCUUCUCUACACGGUCCUAUCGUGAAGCUCUUAUCACACCCAAACGAAGGCUAUGUUCCACCCAACGGAUCCUUAGUGAGGCAUAGAAAUGCAGCCCCCUCCACCUUUUCACAACAUGAAAGCAUUUUUUUUUAACUUAUCAGAAAUCUUGUAAGCCUACCAGAAUCAACAGUUUACCUCGAGCCUAAAAGAAAAACUGGAUGAGCAUAUUUGGGGAAAUGGCCUAGGAGUCAACAGUGAUGAUUGUAUUAUGCCAGGAGAGGCACCUGUAUUAGGUUGUUUAAUCCUCACAACGACUUUCCACAGUGGGUCUUUAUAUUUGCACUUGAAAUGUAAAGAAAUAGAGGAAAAAAUAAGAAAUCGCUCAUUUACGGGCUCAGCUGAUUCUUCUGCAGAAUCUUGCGAACUUUAAGUUUGACUUUAAAGCAGUUCUUCCAAAAGAUUAAGUGAAAAGGAUAGAGGAGUCUGUCUCAAAUGUUAACCCAUCCUGAAAGUUGAGUCCUGGCCACUGGACCAACUGGCUCCCUUCAGUUUCCACCCUGGGAAAAAAACCCAUCUCAUGCUGAUGGCCUUCUUUGGGAAUAGGAUGUUUCCCAUAAGAGAAAAUUCUUUCCAAAACUUAGUGCAUAUUUUAGGAGAGUUGAGUGGAUUCCCAGCCAUCUUUUGCACGAGAAGUCUGAUACCCCCAAAUCAAGCAAGUUUCAACAGCCCGACUGGUCAUUAAAGAUUAAAAAAAAACAAACAACAGACAGGGGAAGCUAUGUUGCUUCAAAACACUUGUGAACACAUGAAUUUUUCAGCAGAAAUUUCCUAAUCCCUAUGGUGUAUUUCUCUCAUCUCCGUUGGAGUUUUCCUAUCAACUCUCAGGUUUCCUCGGGUCUUUAUUUGCUGACUCUGAAGGUUGGACCACAUGCAGCUGGUUUUUAUUUCUUGAAACAUUCAUUCAAUUUAGAUUAGCAUACUGGCUUCUUAACUUUUUUCU